UUAGUUAUACGUAACACAGAAUAUAUAAUAAUAUGGAGGGGAGGUUAUUGACGGUGUUGGUCUGCCUUGUCUCUACGGUGGCGAUAGUGAACGCAGGCGAUCCUUACUUCUUCUAUACAUGGAACGUGACUUAUGGAACUGCCUCACCUCUCGGCGUUCCCCAAAAGGUGAUUCUCAUCAACGGUCAGUUUCCUGGUCCUAACCUAAACUCAACCUCUAACAACAACGUCGUCGUCAAUGUCUUCAACAACCUCGACGAGCCUUUCCUCUUGACCUGGUAACUUAACUAUAUAGUCCCUAUUCUUUGUUAGAUUAUGGUCUUAGUAGAUCUUAAUAGGGUUAGCCCUACGGUUUUCUCUUUUCGGUUUAUUCGUUUUCGGUUAGUUCGGUUUGGCCACAAUCUCACCAAAUUGAACCCAAAAGAAUUCGGUUUGUAUUGUUUUGGUAGUUUUUGGUUUUAAAAAUUUUAUUAAUAAUAACUGAUUUUUGGUUUCGAUUUAAUUUUGGUUUAAGUUUAAAAAAAACUCAGCUAUUUUUUUGUUAUUUUUGGUUAAAUCAGUUAUUUUUAUUAGUUUGGUUAUUUUGGAUAAUUUGGUUAUUUUUUUAAAAAAAAAUGUAGUACUCUAUUUUCUUUGAAACCCAACUAACUGAGUGCCAAAUCGAAAGUAUUUUCAAAUCCUAACUAUACCAAACUCAAAAUCCGAAUCGAACCGAAAACCAAUUUUUUUUUAUUAUGUUCGGUUCAAUUCUGCAAGGCUAAUUAGGGUUGCUGUAAGAGAAUACCUUGUCCGGUCUGUCCAGCUUUAAGGCAAAACAAGCCUGUUCUUUGACUGACUCCUAUGUAAUAUGAGUACUAAUGGUGGAACGUGGUUGCAGGAGUUUCUUCACAUUGAGCUAGCCUCUCCCACCAACAUUUCUAUCUUAUGUUUUAGUGUACUCUUUGUUGUUCAUCUGACCGUUGGGAUUAACUCCGGGUUGUAUCCACUUAACUUUUAAAUUUUAAUAUAUUACGUUGACAAAAAAAAAAAAAACUGACUAAACUCAGAGAGAACAUUUUUAAAAUAACUAACCAUCGAGUUUAUUCAUCUUCUUAGAACUGACUAAACUCAUCUUCAACAUUGAUUCAGUUUAUGUGAUGUAUUUUUGUUUUUGCUUGCUACCGUUAUGCACACAUAACCAAUCACACGAUUUACUUAUUAUCACAUAUUUGGGAUCUUCAAAAUUGUAUUUUCAGUACAAAAUAAAUGUUUCGACGAAUUACAGUAACUCAUUUAAUUUUGUCUCAAAAAAGAAUACGAGAUAUUAUUUUUGUAAAACGCAUUUUAGACGGUGAGGCUGCGGUCCAUAAUGCAUGACUAAAAAACACAAUAUUGCACUACAAGGAAAUAAAGCUUGUACACGAGAAACCGUCUAGGAAUUAAAGUACUCGAUCGAUCACAGAAUCUGAAUGCCACAAAUAAUUCCAAACUAGUAUAUGUUUUUGGUAUUUCAGCGCUAAGUCCUCACAAAUCUAUCAAAAUUAAUAUAAUACAUUUGACGUUGUUCACAAUCUUGUCAUGGUAAAAUUUUACAGGUAACAUUUUAUUGACGUGUAACAAAACAUGCACUUGGCAAAAAAACGUCGUUAAGGACAUUUCCAAUAUUAGAAUACGAUCUUAGUUGUUAUGAUUCAUAGUUCUGGUACCUUGAAAACCAAAACGAAAAAGAUAGAGAAAAAAGUUUGUUGCAUCACCACAUUCACAUAUAGAAAAUCGAAUUAGAGAUGGAGCGUAAAAUAUGGCAACAAUACCUUGCAAAAUAAGUUAUGUUUUCCCUGCAUAAAUACUUCGAAUCACCCAAACGACAAGAGGAUUCAUCCACAGCAAAACUUGCUUUUGAGGGGGAAUCAAUAGAAGUAUUUUUUUUUCUUUUAUUUUUUGUAGGAAAGGGUUAGUUAUACGUAACACAGAAUAUAUAAUAAUAUGGAGGGGAGGUUAUUGACGGUGUUGGUCUGCCUUGUCUCUACGGUGGCGAUAGUGAACGCAGGCGAUCCUUACUUCUUCUAUACAUGGAACGUGACUUAUGGAACUGCCUCACCUCUCGGCGUUCCCCAAAAGGUGAUUCUCAUCAACGGUCAGUUUCCUGGUCCUAACCUAAACUCAACCUCUAACAACAACGUCGUCGUCAAUGUCUUCAACAACCUCGACGAGCCUUUCCUCUUGACCUGGUAACUUAACUAUAUAGUCCCUAUUCUUUGUUAGAUUAUGGUCUUAGUAGAUCUUAAUAGGGUUAGCCCUACGGUUUUCUCUUUUCGGUUUAUUCGUUUUCGGUUAGUUCGGUUUGGCCACAAUCUCACCAAAUUGAACCCAAAAGAAUUCGGU
rnacentral:lncRNA from 1 species